UGGCUCAGGAUGAACGCUGGCGGCGUGCCUAAUACAUGCAAGUCGAGCGAACUGAUUAGAAGCUUGCUUCUAUGACGUUAGCGGCGGACGGGUGAGUAACACGUGGGCAACCUGCCUGUAAGACUGGGAUAACUUCGGGAAACCGAAGCUAAUACCGGAUAGGAUCUUCUCCUUCAUGGGAGAUGAUUGAAAGAUGGUUUCGGCUAUCACUUACAGAUGGGCCCGCGGUGCAUUAGCUAGUUGGUGAGGUAACGGCUCACCAAGGCAACGAUGCAUAGCCGACCUGAGAGGGUGAUCGGCCACACUGGGACUGAGACACGGCCCAGACUCCUACGGGAGGCAGCAGUAGGGAAUCUUCCGCAAUGGACGAAAGUCUGACGGAGCAACGCCGCGUGAGUGAUGAAGGCUUUCGGGUCGUAAAACUCUGUUGUUAGGGAAGAACAAGUACGAAGAGUAACUGCUCUGUACCUUGACGGUACCUAACCAGAAAGCCACGGCUAACUAC
rnacentral:rRNA from 1 species